AUUUAGUGGGCGGAUGUGACUUGAAGAAACAAUUUGGCACUGAAGGAAUAACAACUGCAAUAUUGGAGUGUCGAAAUGACAAAAUGAAAACCUGGAAAACGAUGGAGAAGAACUGGUAAAGAAGUCGACUCAAAUAAAUGAUCAAGAAGGACUGUAAAGCUGUCAUCCCGUCCUGCAACCACCUAUGUGAAGACUGAUGAGCAAUGGCUAAGGGGUAGCAGCAGAAUAACACUGAAGGAGGCGGUGCCCCCUGAAGGAGCCCAAAACACUGCUCUUCAAAUGGAACACAUCCAACCUUCAGGUGUCCAUGCAGGAUGUACCACUCUGGAACAUCAAGCCUCUCCCCACCUGCCAGCACAUGAAAAUAUUUCUACUUCCGACUAUCAAAGACAAUGGAAAACCAUUUUCCAGAACAGCCCUCACAGAUCCUCCUGCUGGCCUAACAACUAAACUACAUGUCGAUGCUGAGUAUGAUUCAUCUCAAUCAUUUGAGGAAGCUCUCCCUGAUAUAGGGGAUUGGAUGUACAAUGACGGACAUACGUUUAAUGAAGGAUUUGAAGAUGGUUUGAGUGAGGAGUGUGCAGAAGAGUCCAAUUUCAAGGACACAACAGACAAACCAAUACAUGACAAUGCAUCAGAAACCAUGGCAGAGUGCCUUCUGAUCAGCAUGGGUUAUGUAAACUGUCAUAAAGUCACAGGUAAGGCCCUAAGCCAUAUGCUCAAAAUGUUCAAGUUGCUUUUUUAGUAAUUGUUUUGGGCCAAUAGAAAGUAAACAAAUAAAAUGCCUGUUUUGUGGGACCAGUGUGUCAGAAGAAAGAUUCUCAUCCUUUUUUUUAAAGUAUGUACAGAUUGAUUUCUUCUUUACCACAGCACAUUCAUGUGCCAAAUGGGCCCUCGUUCGUGAAUUUAAACAUGCAGGUUUUUCUUUGCUGCAAGAUAGUGUAACAUAUGAGACAUGCAGUCAUGUUAUUCCCCUAUUGGAAACCUCUGCAGUACAGUAGUAUUCUUGGAUGACAUGUUGGGUAAAGUUGUUUUCCUUGACUUCACAUCUAUGCCUGGCAUAGUGAUUGCAGUUCAUUUCCCCAACACACUUGAAAAGUUUUAGAUAAUUAAGAACUGAACUGGCCUAAGAAGCCACAAAUCAAUUUUUUGAUCAUUGUUAUAAAUGCUCUGAAAAUACACACUGAUGUGAUGUUGCCGUGGAUGCUGUAAAAGUCUGUAAAUAUGUACACUAUAUGGAGUAUCAUUGUUGAUUAUGUUUUUUCAUUGUGUGUAAUAUUUCAGUGGCCAAUUUAUUAAAUUUACUUGUUUAAUAAAA